GAUCCUGGCUCAGGACGAACGCUGGCGGCGUGCCUAACACAUGCAAGUCGAACGGAGAAUUUUAUUUCGGUAGAAUUCUUAGUGGCGAACGGGUGAGUAACGCGUAGGCAACCUACCCUUUAGACGGGGACAACAUUCCGAAAGGAGUGCUAAUACCGGAUGUGAUCAUCGUGCCGCAUGGCAGGAUGAAGAAAGAUGGCCUCUACAAGUAAGCUAUCGCUAAAGGAUGGGCCCGCAU
rnacentral:rRNA from 1 species